rnacentral:rRNA from 1 species
AGUGGCGGACGGGUGAGUAACGCGUGGGUAACCUGCCUCAUACAGGGGGAUAACAGUUAGAAAUGACUGCUAAUACCGCAUAAGACCACAGCACCGCAUGGUGCAGGGGUAAAAACUCCGGUGGUAUGAGAUGGACCCGCGUCUGAUUAGGUAGUUGGUGGGGUAACGGCCUACCAAGCCGACGAUCAGUAGCCGACCUGAGAGGGUGACCGGCCACAUCGGGACUGAGACACGGCCCAA